CAUAUUAGCUUACCAAACAGGCUAGUAAGGAACAAGAUCAAAGCAAUCAUCAGCUGUUAAUCAAAUCAAAAUGACAUGAAAAUUAAAAAAACCCAAAUAAUAUCGAUCACAUGUUGCUCAAAUGGGAAUUCCAAACAGCAUUGAUAAUAAGAAGCUAAUGGUUCACAUCAUACAUAAUAGUGGCAUAAAAAGGAUCUCAUUACAAUAAUCCAUCAAAAGGUAAACCCUAAUCAUCAUCAAAUUAAUAGAAAAACCCCAAAACCCCCAAACACCAGAUACCCAAAUGCCUAUCAUCCAUUUCCCAAAUGUAGGGGGAAGGGUGAUUGUGUAAUAUCAAUCUACUCUUCCUCAGUGGCGGUGUCGCCACUCUUCUUGUUGUGCUUCCUUGCGUACCUCUGGUUCCUCAAGAACUUCGGGUCCAUCUAUAUAUACAUAAAUAAAAAAAGAUUACAAAUUUAUGUAUGCAUAGAUAUAUAUACACACAUGCCCUCGUAAAACAAUAAACAAGCCUUAUCCUCCAUAAAUUUGGAUAGACUACAUGAAUCUUUCUUCUCGAUUCCAUUUUAUUUGCUGCUAGAUCUACGGAGAGAAAUCAGAACAACCCAGGUUAAUUUUACUCCACAGAAAUUACGUCACACUCUUCUUAACGCGAGCCACACACAAACAAACAAAUAUAUUAUAAUAGAAGAACAAUCAGGAGAAUUCGACGAACCCCUUUGGUGGAUGUGUGACGAUGGCGUUUGGGUUUCUUGAUGCCGUUCUUAUGGGCUUUGUGUGACUGAUUAUGCGCUGUGUGAUUCUUCGACUUGGCCAUUUUCUCCUCUGAUUCUUCUCUGUUCUGAUUCAAAAUGCAAUAAAAGUAGAUUU
rnacentral:lncRNA from 1 species